rnacentral:rRNA from 1 species
AUGUAUAUACUUGUGUGUGAGCUGGAAGCGUCCCGGCCGGGCUACGAUCCAUUGCCGGAGUUCUCCUCGCCGCCGGCUGCAGUCCCUCUGGACGCGCCCAAGCCCCGACUCGUCAUCAACCUCCUGCCGAAGGUGAAGACGGAGGAGAUCGAGGCCGCUGCGGCGACGCUCGCUCUCCCAGCGCGCCGCGACCUCAACCUCCCGACGCUGGAAGUGGAGGAGAAGCACCAGGAAGCAGCGCCGCCGUCCGCACUCCCGACGCCCUCGCCGGAAGCCCGUGUGCUCCUCCGCCGCUUUGCAUCAGCCAUGGCUGUUCGCCCCGCUGGAACCCACGCCGGCACUUGGUCGCCCGAGGCACUCGGCCUCACCGGCCGUGUCGCGGAUCUCCGCCCCCAUGAGGCCGCCCCCCAACUCCCCUCCUCCUCUGCGGAGGGGCCGCGCCGCCGCUGA